rnacentral:rRNA from 1 species
AAGGAGCUUGCUCCUUUGACGUUAGCGGCGGACGGGUGAGUAACACGUGGGUAACCUACCUAUAAGACUGGGAUAACUUCGGGAAACCGGAGCUAAUACCGGAUAACAUUUGGAACCGCAUGGUUCUAAAGUGAAAGAUGGUUUUGCUAUCACUUAUAGAUGGACCCGCGCCGUAUUAGCUAGUUGGUAAGGUAACGGCUUACCAAGGCGACGAUACGUAGCCGACCUGAGAGGGUGAUCGGCCACACUGGAACUGAGACACGGUCCAGACUCCUACGGGAGGCAGCAGUAGGGAAUCUUCCGCAAUGGGCGAAAGCCUGACGGAGCAACGCCGCGUGAGUGAUGAAGGGUUUCGGCUCGUAAAACUCUGUUAUUAGGGAAGAACAAAUGUGUAAGUAACUGUGCACGUCUUGACGGUACCUAAUCAGAAAGCCACGGCUAACUACGUGCCAGCAGCCGCGGUAAUACGUAGGUGGCAAGCGUUAUCCGGAAUUAUUGGGCGUAAAGCGCGCGUAGGCGGUUUCUUAAGUCUGAUGUGAAAGCCCACGGCUCAACCGUGGAGGGUCAUUGGAAACUGGGAAACUUGAGUGCAGAAGAGGAAAGUGGAAUUCCAUGUGUAGCGGUGAAAUGCGCAGAGAUAUGGAGGAACACCAGUGGCGAAGGCGACUUUCUGGUCUGUAACUGACGCUGAUGUGCGAAAGCGUGGGGAUCAAACAGGAUUAGAUACCCUGGUAGUCCACGCCGUAAACGAUGAGUGCUAAGUGUUAGGGGGUUUCCGCCCCUUAGUGCUGCAGCUAACGCAUUAAGCACUCCGCCUGGGGAGUACGACCGCAAGGUUGAAACUCAAAGGAAUUGACGGGGACCCGCACAAGCGGUGGAGCAUGUGGUUUAAUUCGAAGCAACGCGAAGAACCUUACCAAAUCUUGACAUCCUUUGAAAACUCUAGAGAUAGAGCUUUCCCCUUCGGGGGACAAAGUGACAGGUGGUGCAUGGUUGUCGUCAGCUCGUGUCGUGAGAUGUUGGGUUAAGUCCCGCAACGAGCGCAACCCUUAAGCUUAGUUGCCAUCAUUAAGUUGGGCACUCUAGGUUGACUGCCGGUGACAAACCGGAGGAAGGUGGGGAUGACGUCAAAUCAUCAUGCCCCUUAUGAUUUGGGCUACACACGUGCUACAAUGGACAAUACAAAGGGCAGCUAAACCGCGAGGUCAUGCAAAUCCCAUAAAGUUGUUCUCAGUUCGGAUUGUAGUCUGCAACUCGACUACAUGAAGCUGGAAUCGCUAGUAAUCGUAGAUCAGCAUGCUACGGUGAAUACGUUCCCGGGUCUUGUACACACCGCCCGUCACACCACGAGAGUUUGUAACACCCGAAGCCGGUGGAGUAACCA